UCCAGUUAAAUACUUGAAUUUGAAUUGGAAUGAUACAGAGAAGAUGAGCAGGGCCCUGGACAAGGAUGACACGCAAAUUCAUGAAAGUCAUAUUUUAUAA
rnacentral:snRNA from 1 species